GGUUCUCUGCCGUGUGCGAGUCGGGGCGCAAAGUCCCGAUCCAACACAUCGACCCGGGGAGCCCGCCUCCGGAGGCGGACGACGGUCCCGCGGGCAGGCGGUGCGGGCAGGUCUGAAGCCCCCGGGAGGGCACCCACCUACGAGAGUAGGGUUCGGGGACUUCGUCCCGCACGGCACGGCGGAGAAUCC
rnacentral:other from 1 species